UGGCCUACGGGAGGCAGCAGUAGGGAAUUUUCGUCAAUGGGUGCAAGCCUGAACGAGCAAUGCCGCGUGAACGAGGAAGGUCUUCGGAUCGUAAAGUUCUGUUGAAGGGGAAAAAGAGCGGAGAGAGGAAAUGGUCUCCGAUUGAUAUUACCCUUCGAGGAAGUCACGGCUAACUACGUGCCAGCAGCCGCGGUAAUACGUAGGGGGCAAGCGUUAUCCGGAUUUACUGGGUGUAAAGGGAGCGUAGGUGGCAUGGUAAGCCAGAAGUGAAAACCCAGGGCUCAACUCUGCGGAUUGCUUUUGGA
rnacentral:rRNA from 1 species